rnacentral:rRNA from 1 species
CGUUCUCUCUCGCUUUGCCUCAAAAAAAAAAUCUUUCUCUCUCGCUCGUUUAUCCACCCCGUCGCUCUCUCUCGCUCGUUCUCCAUCCCAUCCAGAUCCCGCCGCCCCAACCCUCUCACCCUUCCCCUCCACAACGAGCCACCUCUACCAUCACGGCAAGUAGCACCGCCCCAACCCUCUCCCACCCUCAUCUCGGUGCUCCCCAUCCCUCAUCAUGCUAUCCAACGGGCUCCCUCCCUCUUCUGGUGCACAAAUACCGGCGAGAUCCGGGGAGACGGGGCACGUCGAUAUCGCCAUCAACCUCGCCGAGCUUGAUCCGGGGAGACCAGGGCCCCGGGCUGCCGUAGUGCUGGACGCUGUGGCCGUCUCCUCCCACUCGCGUGAGACGCGGGGCCUAUCGCGGGCUUACCCGGGAGGGUCGACAGUGGGCACGACCUGUACUGCUUACUCCUGGCCUCUCACGGCCUCCUCCUGGUCCACAGCUACUCCGCGAUCCAACUUGGCGGCAUUGAGAAAAGGCCCGUUUUUUUGUGCUCGAACUUCUUGCUUCUUCCCUUUGAUUAUGGGUGGGCGUGUGAUUUUGUGGUUGCUCGGGCUGGAUAGGACGUCAAGCUACAAAAGUAGUAGUAGCCAGAUUACUACUACUCCAAUUCUUUCUAGAUUACUUACCAGGACGUUGAACGAAUCCAAUUCUUUCUAGUUUGUCUGCUGAUGUAUAUCUAAACUUUUGUGUUCCUAACUAUGGCCCUCUGACUGUAAUGUUGUUGUUCUGAAUUUCCCCCUCGCCUGCUCCCUGAUCCAGGCCUGCUCUGGUGUCCCAAUGUUUUUUUGUUUGGUUUCCUGUGUGAUGCAUUUUGGAUUUGAUGAUGCAGGUGACUAGCCGUAGAUGUGGUCUGGUGUCCCAAGCUUCUGCCUAGAGGUCGCCAUGCUUCACCAAGAAUCAUGACGGUGCUGCCUUAUGCUCGCCAUGCGCAAAACUGGGGUCGUGAGGAGGAACACAAGGCCACGCAUGAGAAAAUUCAAGAUGGAGGUGGCACCAAACAUAACUUGAGCCUGAUUUUUUUGCUAGCUUAGCAUUUUGCUUUCAUAGGUUUGGAGCUCUAAAUUUAAGCUUUUGCUCUGAAUCUUCAAUUGAUCCAUAGGUUUCUGAUCAUUCCGAACAAAUGCUUGAACUCUUUGUUGUUUGA